AGCGAACGCUGGCGGCAGGCUUAACACAUGCAAGUCGAGCGGGCACUUUCGGGUGUCAGCGGCGGACGGGUGAGUAACGCGUGGGAACGUGCCCUCUGGUUCGGAAUAACUCAGGGAAACUUGAGCUAAUACCGGAUACGCCCUUUUGGGGAAAGGCUUGCUGCCGGAGCAUCGGCCCGCGUCUGAUUAGCUAGUUGGUGAGGUAACGGCUCACCAAGGCGACGAUCAGUAGCUGGUCUGAGAGGAUGAUCAGCCACACUGGGACUGAGACACGGCCCAGACUCCUACGGGAGGCAGCAGUGGGGAAUAUUGGACAAUGGGCGCAAGCCUGAUCCAGCCAUGCCGCGUGAGUGAUGAAGGCCUUAGGGUUGUAAAGCUCUUUUAUCCGGGACGAUAAUGACGGUACCGGAGGAAUAAGCCCCGGCUAACUUCGUG
rnacentral:rRNA from 1 species